UCGAUCCUCAGGAGAGCAAAACAAGGAAAACCCUUGUUCUUCAAAGAUCAUCAAAAUUGAAGGAGAAAUUGGACCCCAAAUUCCUGCAUGAACAUGAAUUAUCGGUCACCUAGACGAGGGGAUCAUAAGUUUGACUCUGACAAGCUAGGUAGGAGUUUGGAAACGAACGGGUCAAAUGGAUACAAGUUCAAGUAUGAAGCUCGCAAGUACACAAGUGAUAGUUAAGACUAACGGAUGAAGAUCAAGCAUAAAGAAGAACCGAACGCAACCGAAAUUCAAGCUUCCGCUUAGUUUCGUAUUUUGUGAAACGAAACAAUUAUGAACUUUGUAAAAGAUUUAUAUUUUACGAACAUAUUAACGCACUAAAGGGUUGAAAUGUAUUAAACGCUUAUGAACU